UGGGGAAUAUUGCACAAUGGGCGCAAGCCUGAUGCAGCCAUGCCGCGUGUGUGAAGAAGGCCUUCGGUUGUAAGCACUUUCAGCGAGGAGGAAGGUGGUGAGCUUAAUACGCUCAUCAAUUGACGUUACUCGCAGAAGAAGCACCGGCUAACUCCGUGCCAGCAGCCGCGGUAAUACGGAGGGUGCAAGCGUUAAUCGGAAUUACUGGGCGUAAAGCGCACGCAGGCGGUUUGUUAAGUCAGAUGUGAAAUCCCCGGGCUCAACCUGGGAACUGCAUUUGAAACUGGCAAGCUAGAGUCUCGUAGAGGGGGGUAGAAUUCCAGGUGUAGCGGUGAAAUGCGUAGAGAUCUGGAGGAAUACCGGUGGCGAAGGCGGCCCCCUGGACGAAGACUGACGCUCAGGUGCGAAAGCGUGGGGAGCAAACAGGGUUAGAUACCCUGGUAGU
rnacentral:rRNA from 1 species